GAUGAACGCUGGCGGCGUGCCUAAUACAUGCAAGUCGAGCGAACGGACGAGAAGCUUGCUUUUCUGAUGUUAGCGGCGGACGGGUGAGUAACACGUGGAUAACCUACCUAUAAGACUGGGAUAACUUCGGGAAACCUGAGCUAAUACCGGAUAAUAUUUUGAACCGCAUGGUUCAAAAGUGAAAGACGGUCUUGCUGUCACUUAUAGAUGGAUCCGCGCUGCAUUAGCUAGUUGGUAAGGUAACGGCUUACCAAGGCAACGAUGCAUAGCCGACCUGAGAGGGUGAUCGGCAACACUGGAACUGAGACACGGUCCAGACUCCUACGGGAGGCAGCAGUAGGGAAUCUUCCGCAAUGGGCGAAAGCCUGACGGAGCAACGCUGCGUGAGUGAUGAAGGUCUUCGGAUCGUAAAACUCUGUUAUUAGGGAAGAACAUAUGUGUAAGUAACUGUGCACAUCUUGACGAUACCUAAUCAGAAAGCCACGGCUAACUACGUG
rnacentral:rRNA from 1 species